rnacentral:rRNA from 1 species
AAUGAACGUUGGCGGCGUGGAUUAGGCAUGCAAGUCGUGCGAGAAGCUUCCUUCGGGAAGUGGACAGCGGCGAAAGGGAGAGUAAUACGUAGAAAUCUGCCCCUGAGUCCGGGAUAGCGUUGGGAAACUGGCGGUAAUACCGGAUAACGUCUUCGGACCAAAGGUGUGAUUCCGCUUGGGGAUGAGUCUACGUCCUAUUAGCUAGUUGGUGGGGUAAUGGCCUACCAAGGCAACGAUGGGUAGCGGGUGUGAGAGCAUGAUCCGCCUCACUGGGACUGAGACACUGCCCAGACACCUACGGGUGGCUGCAGUCGAGAAUCUUUGUCAAUGGACGAAAGUCUGAACAAGCGACGCCGCGUGCGGGAUGAAGGCCUUCGGGUUGUAAACCGCUGUCAGUUGGGAGGAAGAUCUGUGAAGAGCAGAUCCUGACCGAUCUUCAGAGGAAGGACGGGCUAAGUUCGUGCCAGCCGCCGCGGUAA